GGGGACGUAGCUUAACCUGGGAAAGCACUAGGCUGAAGACCUAGGCAUCGUGGGAGGUUCAUAAAAUAUCUUUAUGGAUCCACGAAUUCAAAUCCCACCGUCCCCA
rnacentral:tRNA from 1 species